GAGAGUAUAGCUCAGUGGUAGAGUGCAUGCUUAGCAUUCAUGAGGUCCUGGGUUCAAUCCCCAGUACCUCCA
rnacentral:tRNA from 1 species